GAUGAACGCUAGCGAUAGGCUUAACACAUGCAAGUCGAGGGGCAGCACAGGCAGCAAUGUUGGGUGGCGACCGGCGCACGGGUGCGUAGCACGUAUGCAACCUUCCUGUAAGUGUGGGAUAGCCUCCUGAAAGGGAGAUUAAUACCGCAUAACAUGUAUUAUCUGCAUGGGUGAUACAUCAAACAUUUAUGGCUUACAGAUGGGCAUGCGUUCCAUUAGGCAGUUGGUGAGGUAACGGCUCACCAAACCCACGAUGGAUAGGGGUUCUGAGAGGAAGGUCCCCCACACUGGUACUGAGACACGGACCAGACUCCUACGGGAGGCAGCAGUGAGGAACAUUGGUCAAUGGGCGAGAGCCUGAACCAGCCAAAUCGCGUGAAGGACGACGGCCCUAUGGGUUGUAAACUUCUUUUACAGGGGAAUAAAGUGCGGCACGUGUUGCUGUUUUGUAUGUACCCUGUGAAUAAGCAUCGGCUAACUCCGUGCCAGCCGCCGCGGUAAGAC
rnacentral:rRNA from 1 species